rnacentral:rRNA from 1 species
UACGGGGGGGGCAAGCGUUGUUCGGAAUUACUGGGCGUAAAGGGCUCGUAGGCGGCCAACUAAGUCCGACGUGAAAUCCCCAGGCUUAACCUGGGAACUGCGUCGGAUACUGGUUGGCUUGAAUCCGGGAGAGGGAUGCGGAAUUCCAGGUGUAGCGGUGAAAUGCGCAGAUAUCAGGAGGAACACCGAUGGCGAAGGCAGGUCUCUGGGCAUUAACUGACGCUGAGGAGCGAAAGCAUGGGGAGCGAACAGG